AAGAUUAUGAGUCAGGCGGAGAUUGCCGAGCCAGGCCAAAGGCGAUGGAUUUAGGGUCCAUUUCCGCAGGGAUUCGGGGGUUCGA
rnacentral:tRNA from 1 species